rnacentral:rRNA from 1 species
UACGAAGGGGGCUAGCGUUGCUCGGAAUCACUGGGCGUAAAGCGCACGUAGGCGGCUUUCUAAGUCAGGGGUGAAAUCCUGGAGCUCAACUCCAGAACUGCCUUUGAUACUGGAGAGCUAGAGUCCGGAAGAGGUGAGUGGAACUGCGAGUGUAGAGGUGAAAUUCGUAGAUAUUCGCAAGAACACCAGUGGCGAAGGCGGCUCACUGGUCCGGUACUGACGCUGAGGUGCGAAAGCGUGGGGAGCAAACAGG